GGUGCUUGCAUCAUGAUUUACAUUUGAGUGAGUGGCGAACUGGUGAGUAACACGUGGGAAACCUGCCCAGAAGCGGGGGAUAACACCUGGAAACAGAUGCUAAUACCGCAUAACAACUUGGACCGCAUGGUCCGAGUUUGAAAGAUGGCUUCGGCUAUCACUUUUGGAUGGUCCCGCGGCGUAUUAGCUAGAUGGUGGGGUAACGGCUCACCAUGGCAAUGAUACGUAGCCGACCUGAGAGGGUAAUCGGCCACAUUGGGACUGAGACACGGCCCAAACUCCUACGGGAGGCAGCAGUAGGGAAUCUUCCACAAUGGACGAAAGUCUGAUGGAGCAACGCCGCGUGAGUGAAGAAGGGUUUCGGCUCGUAAAACUCUGUUGUUAAAGAAGAACAUAUCUGAGAGUAACUGUUCAGGUAUUGACGGUAUUUAACCAGAAAGCCACGGCUAACUACGUGCCAGCAGCCGCGGUAAUACGUAGGUGGCAAGCGUUGUCCGGAUUUAUUGGGCGUAAAGCGAGCGCAGGCGGUUUUUUAAGUCUGAUGUGAAAGCCUUCGGCUCAACCGAAGAAGUGCAUCGGAAACUGGGAAACUUGAGUGCAGAAGAGGACAGUGGAACUCCAUGUGUAGCGGUGAAAUGCGUAGAUAUAUGGAAGAACACCAGUGGCGAAGGCGGCUGUCUGGUCUGUAACUGACGCUGAGGCUCGAAAGUAUGGGUAGCAGACAGGAUUAGAUACCCUGGUAGUCCAUACCGUAAACGAUGAAUGCUAAGUGUUGGAGGGUUUCCGCCCUUCACUGCUGCAGCUAACGCAUUAAGCAUUCCGCCUGGGGAGUACGGCCGCAAGGCUGAAACUCCAAGGAAUUGACGGGGGCCCGCACAAACGGUGGAGCAUGUGGUUUAAUUCUAAACUACCCGAAGAACCUUACCAGGUCUUGGCCUUCUUUGCUAA
rnacentral:rRNA from 1 species